GAUGAACGCUGACAGAAUGCUUAACACAUGCAAGUCGGUGGCGGACGGGUGAGUAACACGUGGGUGACCUGCCCUGCACUUCGGGAUAAGCCUGGGAAACUGGGUCUAAUACCGGAUAGUGUGGGAUGGGCCCGCGGCCUAUCAGCUUGUUGGUGGGGUAAUGGCCUACCAAGGCGGCGACGGGUAGCCGGCCUGAGAGGGUGGACGGCCACAUUGGGACUGAGACACGGCCCAGACUCCUACGGGAGGCAGCAGUGGGGAAUAUUGCACAAUGGGCGGAAGCCUGAUGCAGCGACGCCGCGUGGGGGAUGACGGCCUUCGGGUUGUAAACUCCUUUCACCAUCGACGCGGUAGAUGGAGAAGAAGCGCCGGCUAACUACGUGCCAGCAGCCGCGGUAAUUC
rnacentral:rRNA from 1 species